rnacentral:lncRNA from 1 species
UAUCAUUAAUGGACGUACACCAUUGUUAAGGUGAAACCAUUAUAAAAACCUAACGUAUUUUUCUUCUCUAAAAUUUCGUGCGUAAGAGAGUAGAGAGCCACCUUAGAUCAGUGAGGGUGAGUUUCAGAUCUGAAUUUGGAAAAGUGCAAUCAGUAAAUUGCAACAACAAAUUGUUGCUUGUAAAUCUGUAACCGAAAUAAAACAUAAUCUUCAACCGUGAGUUUGAUAUCCCGCAUGUGUUGGAUUUCCUGAUUCUACAUGAAUUGUUGGGCCCAGUACUCUAGAUUCUUUUUUACAGUUGUGAUGAUCUCUGAUCGGCGUUGAAAGUCUUGGUCUACCGCAUAGCGGUGUCUAUCUACCAUAGAGUGUCAGAAAUGGGGGCAUUCCGAUGGAUUGAAUUGAACCAAAGUUCCUCCCAUGACAAACAUUACUCCAACCAUUUCCUAGGCUCAUCAUACACCACAGAUCGUAAAUACAUCUUUAUACCACGAUUUGUUACCUAUGUUUGGCCGUUAGUCUGUGGAUGGUAAACCGACGAAAUGAGUAAGAAAGUACCGCUCUUCCUACAGAUUUCUUUCCAUAAUUUCCUAGCGAAGAUCCUAUCAUGAUCCAAAAUGAUGGUAGUCAGGAUACCAUGGAGUUUACAUACUAUUUUCAUGAAUAAAUAAGCUACCUAUGUCGUCGUGUCCAGGUAACAAAAAUUUGUAAGGCG